rnacentral:ribozyme from 1 species
UUUUCCCUUUUUUUUUUUUUUUUUUUUUUUAUCUCUUACGUGAGUGGGAUAAGGUGGGAAAAGGAAAAGAAGG